GCCUGUCUUCUGCAUAUUCUUGUACACAUAAUAGUCCAACAUGUACACAUCUAUGAAUCUCCUUUUUGAGCUGUAGUUCAAUUAUCUUGGAGUCAACCAAUUCGACAAUCUUAUUUUCAUUCCACAACUUCCAUGCCCAUGCUAGAAGGCUUAAUGCACCAUCCUCUUGGUAAAAGCUAGUGUUCCUCCUUCCGCUAAUAAUUUCCAGUAACAAUACGCCAAAGCUGUAGACAUCUGAUUUUUCUGAGAAUCUUCCUGUCAUUGCAUAUUCAGGUGCCAUAUAACCAUAGGUUCCAACAACCCUAAUUGUAUUGGCUUGAUCUUGGUUGCCUGCAAUAAUUCUUGCCAUACCAAAAUCUGA
rnacentral:misc_RNA from 1 species